rnacentral:RNase_P_RNA from 1 species
GAAGCUGACCAGACAGUCGCCGCUUCGUCGUCGUCCUUUCGGGGAGACGGGCGGAGGGGAGGAAAGUCCGGGCUCCAUAGGGCAGGGUGCCAGGUAACGCCUGGGGGGGAAACCCACGACCAGUGCAACAGAGAGCAAACCGCCGAUGGCCCACGUAAGUGGGAUCAGGUAAGGGUGAAAGGGUGCGGUAAGAGCGCACCGCGCGGCUGGUAACAGUCCGUGGCACGGUAAACUCCACCCGGAGCAAGGCCAAAUAGGGGUUCAUAAGGUACGGCCCGUACUGAACCCGGGUAGGCUGCUUGAGCCAGUGAGCGAUCGCUGGCCUAGAUGAAUGACUGUCCACGACAGAACCCGGCUUAUCGGUCAGUU